UACUUCUUCGGACAAUAUACAAGGUGCUGCAUGGUUGUCGUCAGCUCGUGUCGUGAGAUGUUGGGUUAAGUCCCGUAACGAGCGCAACCCUUGUCCUUAGUUACCAGCACGUUAUGGUGGGCACGUCUAAGGAGACUGCCGGUGACAAACCGGAGGAAGGUGGGGAUGACGUCAAGUCAUCAUGGCCCUUACGGCCUGGGCUACACACGUGCUACAAUGGUCGGUACAAAGGGUUGCCAAGCCGCGAGGUGGAGCUAAUCCCAUAAAACCGAUCGUAGUCCGGAUCGCAGUCUGCAACUCGACUGCGUGAAGUCGGAAUCGCUAGUAAUCGUGAAUCAGAAUGUCACGGUGAAUACGUUCCCGGGCCUU
rnacentral:rRNA from 1 species